rnacentral:tRNA from 1 species
CUAGAAAAAGCAUAAGUGGAAUGUAUCUCAUUUACAUUGAGAAGAUGAAUUAGUUUUCUUUCUUGA